rnacentral:rRNA from 1 species
CUGGCGGAUCAGUGGCGAACGGGUGAGUAACACGUGAGUAACCUGCCCCCGACUCUGGGAUAACUGCUAGAAAUGGUAGCUAAUACCGGAUAUGACGACUGGCCGCAUGGUCUGGUCGUGGAAAGAAUUUCGGUUGGGGAUGGACUCGCGGCCUAUCAGGUUGUUGGUGAGGUAAUGGCUCACCAAGCCUACGACGGGUAGCCGGCCUGAGAGGGUGACCGGCCACACUGGGACUGAGACACGGCCCAGACUCCUACGGGAGGCAGCAGUGGGGAAUAUUGCACAAUGGGCGAAAGCCUGAUGCAGCAACGCCGCGUGAGGGAUGACGGCCUUCGGGUUGUAAACCUCUUUUAGUAGGGAAGAAGCGAAAGUGACGGUACCUGCAGAAAAAGCACCGGCUAACUACGUGCCAGCAGCCGCGGUAAUACGUAGGGUGCAAGCGUUGUCCGGAAUUAUUGGGCGUAAAGAGCUCGUAGGCGGUUUGUCGCGUCUGCUGUGAAAUCCCGAGGCUCAACCUCGGGUCUGCAGUGGGUACG